GGGGCCGGGGAGCACUGCCGGAGCUCCCCCGGCCGCAGCCCACCUGCCGCUCAGCUCGGCUCGCGGCCGCUGCUCCGGGAGCCGGGGACGCGCGGAGCCGCAGGGGAAGUGGUGCCCGGCAGCGAUAUGCGCUGCGGCCGGCGCGGCUCCCUUUAACUCCUUCCCCGCCCCGCCAGUGCGGGCUACCGGCCGACUCGGAGCCUUAUUCGGCAGCGGCCACGGGGCCGGGGGAGCCUCGGACUAGCCCCGCCAGUGGCGGGGCCGGCGGGAGGGGCCGCAGGCCGGGCCAGUACCUGUGCAGUGCGGCUCGCACAGCCAUUUGAUAGAGGAUGUGUCCUGCAACCCAAGGAGGCUGUACAAGGAGACAGUGCAAGAUGCUGCCUUUUCCUGGUGCAGUACAAAAUUGACCAUCUGCUAGGAGAACAAGACACUUUUCCUGUUUUAAAGGCUCUGGGACUUUGAAAAAGAAGAUAAAUAGAGACUUCAUAUAUAUAUUUAAGCCUGAAUCACUGAAAUUGGAGUCCUAAAGAAAAGUGACUUUAUUUUCAGAGGUUUUGAAUACCUCAGUUCUCACUGACUCUGUUGGACCUCCUUCUGCAGGUUUUCUUUUCUGUGAAGUCACAAUGGAAUUUCAAGGAAAUUUUAAGAAUAUCUGUAAAGUAAAGUAAACCUAUGAUUUGGUACAAA
rnacentral:lncRNA from 1 species